rnacentral:rRNA from 1 species
CCUACGGGAGGCAGCAGUGGGGAAUCUUGCGCAAUGGGCGAAAGCCUGACGCAGCCAUGCCGCGUGAAUGAUGAAGGUCUUAGGAUUGUAAAAUUCUUUCACCGGGGACGAUAAUGACGGUACCCGGAGAAGAAGCCCCGGCUAACUUCGUGCCAGCAGCCGCGGUAAUACGAAGGGGGCUAGCGUUGCUCGGAAUUACUGGGCGUAAAGGGAGCGUAGGCGGAUAGUUUAGUCAGAGGUGAAAGCCCAGGGCUCAACCUUGGAAUUGCCUUUGAUACUGGCUAUCUUGAGUGUGGGAGAGGUAUGUGGAACUCCGAGUGUAGAGGUGAAAUUCGUAGAUAUUCGGAAGAACACCAGUGGCGAAGGCGACAUACUGGCCCAUUACUGACGCUGAGGCUCGAAAGCGUGGGGAGCAAACAGGAUUAGAUACCCUGGUAGUCCACGCUGUAAACGAUGAGUGCUAGUUGUCGGCAGGCAUGCCUGUCGGUGACGCAGCUAACGCAUUAAGCACUCCGCCUGGGGAGUACGGUCGCAAGAUUAAAACUCAAAGGAAUUGACGG